rnacentral:rRNA from 1 species
UAACGGGAGUGGCAGACGGGAGAGUAACACGUGGGAACGUGCCCUUUGGUUCGGAACAACCCAGGGAAACUUGGGCUAAUACCGGAUACGCCCCCGAGCAAUCGGGGGAAAGAUUCAUCGCCAAAGGAUCGGCCCGCGUCUGAUUAGCUAGUUGGUGAGGUAACGGCCCACCAAGGCGACGAUCAGUAGCUGGUCUGAGGGGAUGAUCAGCCUCACUGGGACUGAGACACGGCCCAG